AAAUCCGGUUCACUUUAACACUGAGGCGUGACGACGAGGCACUACGGUGCUGAAGCAACAAAUGCCCUGCUUCCAGGAAAAGCCUCUAAGCAUCAGGUAACAUCAAAUCGUACCCCAAACCGACACAGGUGGUCAGGUAGAGAAUACCAAGGCGCUUGAGAGAACUCGGGUGAAGGAACUAGGCAAAAUGGUGCCGUAACUUCGGGAGAAGGCACGCUGACACGUAGGUGAAGUGAUUUACUCAUGGAGCUGAAGUCAGUCGAAGAUACCAGCUGGCUGCAACUGUUUAUUAAAAACACAGCACUGUGCAAACACGAAAGUGGACGUAUACGGUGUGACGCCUGCCCGGUGCCGGAAGGUUAAUUGAUGGGGUCAGCGCAAGCGAAGCUCCUGAUCGAAGCCCCGGUA
rnacentral:rRNA from 1 species